rnacentral:lncRNA from 1 species
UAUUAUUUUCUGCUCAAAUAAACUAUGAGUUCCUCUGGAAAUUGAAAUUGUACACUCAAGGAAAAAGGACCUGAUGUGCCACUGGACUUAUGUAGGACAAGAAAUCUGAGUAAGCAAUAGUGUUGCUUACUCUGCUGAACCAGACAUUGUAUAUGAGGAUUGUCAACCAUCUGUAACAGACACUUUUCUCUACAAUUUUCUUGGAAUAAUGAAGUCAAAGGACAUAGGCCACAAAGUAGUUCUGAGACACAGAUCAUCCAAAGCUUCUGAGGUUUUCAAUUCAAACAAAUUGAUUCUUGUGACUUAUUAUGUAUGCCUCUCUACAUAGAAUGAUUUUGUUUUGUUUGGGGGUGGGUGGGGUAUCAUUUGAUAAUUAACCCUAAAUUAUUAGACUAGAGACUUGCGAUCUGAGGUAUCUGAUUAGAC